rnacentral:lncRNA from 1 species
AAGGGACUCUUAAUGUCGUUCAGAGAUACUUGUCUCUUGUAGAUCCAGCCUUAAUGUUUUUCUGACAUCCUAGUGAUAGCAGACCCUGCGCAAAGUGGAUAUCAGAGUUAAUACUGUGAGGAGACAAAAUAAUGAGAAUAGUUUUACCAAAGAUAAUGAAACAUUGCAUAAUGUCUGCAUUUUACCAUUGAUUUGAGUGCACCCUUAGAAAACUGAAUGUAACAAAAACCCAGGACAUUUUUUGGAAAUUGUAUGCUCUCUAGCAACUGUGUGAAUUUUUAUACAAGCACUGUUUUAUGAGC